ensembl:ncRNA lncRNA:CR45537 long non-coding RNA:CR45537
GAAUAACUUGCUGGAAACUUUCUGACUUACUUUAAAAAAAAAAAACAUACAAUUCAUUGCUUUUUCGUUAGCUGCGUGUGCCCACUGUAGCCGCACACAAAAGCGGUCCAUUCAUGCCAGCAGCAGCAGCGAUUCGAACGCUCUGACGUUCCAUUCAUCGCCACUCGCCCGCUGCAACUCAUUUGGGAAACCAAAACCCAAUGUACCAUGAUCACAAGAGAUCGAAAUCGGCGGAACGAGAAUCGUUUUGGGAGAAGUCGUCGAGCCAGAAACUGAGUCACUAGCGAUGCCCGACGAUCGAUACGGGAUGGGAUUCCAGGGCAUGGUGCACGAUGCUAAUGCGACUGCAACGGAAAUCAAAUCUUUCAUAAACUAAAGAAGUAGAUGUAUAUGAAGUACCCAUCUCCAGUUAAUAUGACACAUCUUAGAACGCAAACAUAAUGGCUAAGCUAUCAUUUGCUACUUCAAGCUUCAACUUCCUGCGGAUAUACAUAUGUAUUUUUGUGUGUGGAACUUCAGUCUGGUCCUUAGUUUGACCAACUUUGUGGGGAAUCGACUCCUUUUGCGACAAAGAUAAACAAAAUGGCGCCCAAGCCGGGCCAUUGGCUAAGUUAUGGUGACCGGCAGAGGGACAAAGGCGGAAUGCAAAUGCAAUCCCCAGGCUCACAAAAAAAAAAUAUAUAUAUGUACACAUACACACAAAAAAUAAAAAAAAAAAAAAAGGGGAAAACGAAAAUAAGAAGGGGGAUCCCUGGCCCAGCGUCUGCAGCUGACAUGAUAUACGCUUUGAUGUCUCGUUUUUUUGAUAAAGUACUCAAUCUAUAAACGCCAAGAGCAAAAAACCGACUGCGGACCGGGGUCAAUGCAAAAAUAUGAUAUGGAAUUGCCUGGCCCUGGAUCGGAAUCUCUGGUAUUGGCGACUGGCUGAGAUUGGGAUUGCUAUUGCGAUUGCGAUUCGGAUUCGGAUUCGGAUUUGGAUUGCGACUGGGACUGGGACUGGUACUGCGAUUGAGAUUGGGCUGGUGACUCUGACUGGUGCACUAAAAAAGCGACAGCGCGCUGAAGCAGAGCCGCCAGUGGAAAAAUGAAAACAAAAGCGAGGCCGAAAUCAAAAUCAAAAGAACCAGGCAAAAAAUGGCGAGCCAGCAGCGACGCUUUAAAGGUAAACACCCCACACUCCUACUGCUGCUCCUGCUCCUGCUCUUGCUCCAGCUCCAACUCCAAUACCAUGACCAAAAGCCGGACAAAUGGACAGCGGGACAAUGGACACUGGGCACUGGACACUGAGAUUGGCAACGGCUUUUGGCUAAUUCGCGAUGCUCCACACACAACGAAAAAAAAAAUGCUUAGCUGGUAGCCGAGCACUGGAAUACCCUAAUAUUUUGACUAUUUACAAAAUUCUUCAUAUUUCAACACUAG